rnacentral:rRNA from 1 species
GUCACUGACGAGUUUGAUCAUGGCUCAGAACGAACGCUGGCGGCAUGCCUAACACAUGCAAGUCGAACGAACCCUUCGGGGUGAGUGGCGCACGGGUGCGUAACGCGUGGGAACCUGCCCUUAGGUUCGGAAUAACAGUGAGAAAUCGCUGCUAAUACCGGAUAAUGUCUUCGGACCAAAGAUUUAUCGCCUUUGGAUGGGCCCGCGUUGGAUUAGCUAGUUGGUGGGGUAAAGGCUCACCAAGGCGACGAUCCAUAGCUGGUCUUAGAGGAUGAUCAGCCACACUGGGACUGAGACACGGCCCAGACUCCUACGGGAGGCAGCAGUGGGGAAUAUUGGACAAUGGGCGAAAGCCUGAUCCAGCAAUGCCGCGUGAGUGAUGAAGGCCUUAGGGUUGUAAAGCUCUUUUACCAGGGAUGAUAAUGACAGUACCCACAGAAGAAGCCCCGGCUAACUCCGUG